UGUAGAAUAGGGUUAAGGGUUUUUUUUGUAAAAUUUCAUUUUCCAGGCACUUGUUUUCCACAGGCGGCGCUAAAAAAAAUUCAUUUCUCCUCCCAAACUUCGUACGCAUCAAUCAACCAAAACAGCCCUCUCUCUCUCUCUCUCUCUCUCUCUCUCUCGAAUCCAUACGAAACCCUAACCCUCUCUAAAUCCAAGCAUGAAUUUUACUGGAGCUUCGUCUUUCGCGAAUUUCACCUUUAGAGGAAAAUUGCCCAGACCUUAUAUGCAUCAGAUCUGUUUCAUAAGUCCGUCUGAUUUGGGGAAUGAAGUUUGGAGAAAAUACAAUUAAAGUCAUUAUCAGGAAUAAAGGCUAUGCAUUCUUGAAUAUGAUAGGACCACAACACUGUUGUUCAACUUAUGGCAAGGUGAUGGAUCGAAGUUGGAUUCAGAUUAAAGAAUGGAAUGGCCCUGCUGGCCUGUGCUGAGGAUCCUAUUAUUAAAUUUGAAACUGCCGAGCUGGUAGCAUUGAGAUGUCAGAGGCAUAAAAAAUCUUGCGUUCCUCUCAGGUUCUGUACUUCACCCUUGAAGCCGCAACCAUUUUUUACAAAUUAAAGAUUUGAAAAUCUUCCAGAUCUGUUUUUUCGUUAAGAGCUGCUUACAAUUGCAUAUAUAAUUUAAAAUUUAUAUAUAGUUUUCAACACUAAUAUGAUGCAAUUAGGAUAAAUUUCAACUUUCGAAAGAUAUUGUCUUUUGAAACAGACUGAAGUUCAGAAUGAAGCGUUGGAAAAUUUUGCUUAGCCAUACCACAUUAAGGAUAGUAAUUUGGUCAUGAGAAAUGAUAUGAAUGUCACUAAUUUACUAGUGUGAACCUUUGUUUACAUAUGGCUUUUGUUUCUUUUUGGUGUUUAGAUAUAUGCACAUUGUAACUUAUUAAUAUUUUCAAUAAAUUUUAUGGCACCUUAAUACAUGAUCUGUUGUUGAUAUUAUUAUCUUACAUUUGUCUUUAUUAAGUGCAAACAUGGAAUUGCGUCUUUUCGCAAGUUUCGUAUCUCAAUCGCAGUGGAAUACAUAAUGUAUUUGCGUGCUUUUUUUUUUUUUUGCAAAUUUUAUCAACUGAUUUUUGAGUUUUUCUCACACCUGUUUUCUGUUAUGGGCUAUGUGCAAUGCACUUUUGCCUUCAAAAGUAGAAAUGUUCUCUAUUCUUGGGAUGCUUAAUUCUUCCUUCAUUCAUUUGAGUUUAAGUUUCAUUCUUUGUGAUGAAUUGAUUUUCUGUAAUGGAUAUAUCCAUAGAGCUGUGCCUUCAAAAGCUAUAGAAUAAAAAAUGCAAUGUUGAAUGCAUUUGAAAUGAGUUUGCUUGUUUCUUUGCUAUAGGCGAUAACCCUUUGAAUUUUAUCAAGUGACUAUGUUUUGAUCAUUUGCAUUUCUAGUGAUGCAUUUUUUAUUUUCUGGAAUAUUUCUAGUGGUGCAUUGAUUUUUGUAUGUCACAUGGAAUUAUGCUUUCAAAUUUUGUAGAAUAAAGAAUGAAACGGUUAUAGUUCCGGUCUCUUUGCAUUGUUUGUUGCAUGAAAUUUUUUGUGUUUCUUAACCAUUCUCCAACUAGAGUUCACAUUGCCUUGUUCAUUUUCAGAUUCUUUUACGUACACAUAUAUAUAUUUUUAUUGCUAUUUUAAGUAUAAAGAGUUUGAUGCUUUCAUAAUUGGUAUUUUGUACUUUGCAUAGCUGUGACGGCCCUGGUUUUUCAAGCCAGUUCGUCCUGUGAUGAACCGUAGUUUGACCCAAUAACGGAUCUGAAAUGCGGAAGCGAAAAUAGAAAAUAAGACUCUAAGAAGUCAAAGUGACCUUCCAUGAGGUCGUGGAACUCAAUAAGAACUGAUGCGGAAGCAAAAGACCAAAAAUAUGACAAAUAAGCCUCCAGGGGUAAAAUAGUCAUUUCUGAAAACUGUGGACUAGGGUGCCACUGAGCACACCGCUGGAAGGACAACGAAAAACUAAUCAAGAUGGACUCAAGAAUCGCAUGAUUCGGAGUCCGGACGAAGGAGAAACGGCAUGACGAAGAAAAACGAGUACUUAAGGCAAAAGGGUAAACUGGUAAUUAUCUAAGAAGAUUCGGGUGCAACCAAGCACACCGUUGGAAAGACAGUGAAAAAUUAGUCAAAUUCAAAAAAAAGUUCAUUCGAUUUGGAGUCCGGACGAGGGAGAAACGAGUGCUUGAAGUUGAGACGUCGCGGCGGCCCGACGAAGGCCAUGGCAGCCCCAUGCGUGCCCGGCGCCCAUGCCGGCACGCGCGCCGGCACCCAAUGGCAUGACCAUGCUGACAGCAAGGGUCCAAAGCAAGUUUUCCAGAACUGAGACUUCAAACGGAAGCCGAAACGAACUUUUCUGGAAAAACACGAAGAAGAAACUCCCCCUAAAAUCGAGUUUUCUACCCGACUUCACAGAAGGAAACGAAAAAAACUCACUGCAAAAUCCCCAAAAUGCCCCUAGAUCAGAACGGGUCAAGAGGGGCAAAAAGCUGCUAAAAUGCAAAUUGGAAGCUGAAACUUCAUGAGGGAUUUCCAGUACUAAGACGACAUUUUCUGGAAAAACACGAAGAAGAAACCCCCUCUAAAAUCAUGUGAAGACCGGAAUUUAUUUCCCUAAGGAAAAUCCCAAAAUGCCCUUAAAACAGAUUAUGCAAUAAAAUUUCAAAAUGAGUCCAUAAGAGGCUCAUUUCACCAAAGAAGAAGGUUUUCCCUGAAAUGACCAUGCACGCAAAUGUAACUUACCUAUUAGGACGUGCUACAAUGGUCCAUGGCUUAAAAAUACCACCGAUGCAAAAUUCGACCCCUCAACGGGCAAAAAGGCAAAAAUAAACAAGAAAAGGGAAAUUUAAAAACCAAAAUUAACAAUGAUUUCAAAUUACCGUUUGGCUCUUGGCCACACUUCAAACAUGAUUUAUAAGACCUUAUGAAAGAAUAAAAAUGGAAUUUCCACACCCGAUGCAAGCAUAAUGAAGCAAUGACUCGGCAUUUUUCAAUAUUUUCAUAAUAUUUCAUGAAGUUAAAAGUUACAUAGGAUACAAAUUAGAUGUCAGUGGCCUAUGGCCUUUCAUACAUGUCAAAUACAUUAUAAAGAGUGUACUUAUGUACACAUUACAAAAUAGAAUCAAAUUUACACAUUUUAACAUAUAAAGCUAUAAAUGGCAUUUUAAGCCAACAUUUACAAGAAAUGAGAAUUUCAAGUCUACAAAUCAUCUAAGCAAGAUGUGAAUCCCAAAUCUUGAUCCCGAUACCUGAAAAAUGUCCCUACUACGUGGGUGAGUAACAUAAAGCUACUCGUAGGAGAUGAACAUGCAUCGACCUAACAUUUUACAAUUAUAUCACCUUAAGGUGAAACAUGUUAAAGGGGCUCAUGCCACCUAACGUCUAUGUCAAAGUGAGAUUCAGGGAUCAUCCUAAGCUACUCAUGUAAUAUAAAGUGAACAACGGCAUACAAAUAUACAUGCUCAAGUAUACUAAGCAAUAUUAAAAUAUGUUAUACAACAUACAAGCAUAUAUUUUCCAAGUAUACUAAACCAUAUUAAAACAUGAUACACGAUAUUCAAGUACAUAUGCUCACAAGUAUACUAAAUCAUGUUAAACGGGAUAAGCAAUAUCUAGCAUACAUACACAAGUAUAAGAUAUAUGUACAGAGUACUCAUAAAUCAAGUAUACAAACACAAGUAAACAAACACAAGUAUAUUAAGCUAAACACGUACACAAAAGACAAAUAUACAUGGCACAAGUAUACUAAAAUGAAAUCCGCACACAAAAGAAUACAUACACAAGUAUAAGAUAUAUGUACAGAGUACUCAUAAAUCAAGUAUACAAAUACAAGUAUACUAAGCUAAACACGUACACACAAGACAAAUAUACAUGGCACAAGUAUACUAAAAUGAAAUCCGCACACAAAAGAUAAGCAUACUAAGCGUAAGUACACUAGAUAGAGUUUAGAUACACCAACAAGGAUACAAGUUCAAGUAUACAGUUUCAAGUAUACUAAAUGAGAUCAAAAUACAUAAGCAAACACCAAUUCUUAAGUUACAAGUAAUCCAUGAUUAACAACUUGAAAUUGAAUGCGAAAACAAAGUAGAAAGACUAGGACAUGUGGUCACUAGACCAAGCAAGUGUUUCCGGGUAAUUACGACCCACAAGGCACUACCUAGUGCGCACAUGCAUAAGUUAUUUCAGGCAAUUAUGACCCACAAGGUACUACCUAGUGCGUACUUAUGACUUAGAAGACUCUUAUCUCCGUACUAGAGCCAAACCUUAGCCAUCACGUGAAAUAUGUCUUUACAAGCUUUUCAAAAACAAUAAGUUCAAAACUUAUGCAAAAUCAAUAAGUUAAACUAAACUUAUACAUCUCAAAUAAUAUCUAGGAAUCAAUUUACAUGCACAAGUAAGGUUGAAUCCACACAAACCAAGUCCUAGAGUUCAAGUCUAGAUAGCAUAUGACAUGUCAAGUCUCCAAUAUGCAAUUUAUACACCAAAAUAAGAAUAUUUUACAACAAUUGAGCCACAUUACUACACUAAGCCACAAGUACUAAAUAAGUCCCAAUUUAGUAAUUAGCUUCUAAGGUAAACAAUUCUAAUAUUCUAACAAGCUAUAUACCUACACAAGAUAUAUCUAAACAAGUUAUGCAAGACAAUGAUAUCACAUAUCAUGCUAAAUCAAAUCACCAUCUUUAGAGCCCACAAGUACUAAUUCCACAACAAGUUAGUAAUAUACUCAUAAGGUAAUUAAACGGACUACAUUUCAAGGAAUUAUUAACCUAUAACAUUCAAUAUCAAUUUAAGGGACUAACACGCUUAAAAUAAAAUUAAUUAAGCUAAUUAAUUAAUUUUUCACUAGAUUUUCAAACAUAUCCAAAUAUCCUCAAUUUAAUAUAUGUUAAAGAACUCACCAUGGCCUACUUAAAUAUCAUAUUACAAGUUGAUUUCAUGCUUGAUAUAAUUAUGUGAAUUAAUCUUUUACAAAAGAUAAAUAUUAAAUAAGUUUUGCAAUUCUUAUUCAAAUGUCCCAAAUUUAAUAUAUGUUACACAACUCACCAAGGCCUAAUUUACUAGCAUGCCACAAUUUAAUUCUAAACUAUAUAUCAUCAUUAGAAUUAAAUCCUAAACAAAGAAAAUAAAUAAAUUAAAUUCUAAAAACUUGAACAAGGCAUGCUCACAAGUUGUAUAUGUUUAUAAAACAAUCAAUACAACAAUAAUAUAAACCUAAGACAUCCCCUACCUCAAAAGAUGAAAAUCUCAAAAGCCCACCGAAAAAAAAGUGUUCCGAAUCCGACGAUACCGAAGGGUUUUGUCGGGGACAACACGAUCUACAUGAACCCACAAGAAGCCCCAUCAAAAUCACAACUUGACUUCAAACCCGAACUUAAAAUUUGGCCAAAAAGGGGCUCUAAUAAGGGGGAAAGAUUCGCGUGGUCAAGACAAACACAAAACGCGAAGACACUUCGACUUUUUAACAAAGGGAAGAAGGUUCAAAUGAAAGAACAAGGGUGGCAGCUCCCUUGGGCUGCCAUAGCAGGUUCUGGUCGUGUAUGGAGAGGGGAGAAGAUAACUUUUUAAUUUUGAGUCCCCCUAUUUAUAGAAAAUCUCAAAAAAUGCCUUGAACGGGCCCCGCCUGGUCCGAAAAAGUGAAAUUUGAGUAGACGCGCUCAAAUGGAAAAACUCUGUGAACGAAAAAGAUUCAAAAUGAGAAAAUAUGAACAAUGGAAGAAACGACGUCAAAAACUGAGUCCCGAGCAGAGAGUUAUGACCCGAGCAAGUUCGGCAGCAAUUAGGGCCAGAAACCCUGAAACUGGAGAAAAAUGACCAGAAGGAAAUUCUAUGAGUACACGACUCGACGAAAUGUGAAAAUGAAUCCCAUACGAGGAUCCAGGCUCCAGACGAGGUAUUUUGCAAUAACUUUCGUUAAUUGCACAAUGGCCCCUCCAAAAAGUAAAAACUGUAUAACUGCCCCAGAAUGAAAAUAUCUUUCAAAAAUAUUUUUUUAAAAACCCCUAAAACAAAAUAUUUUCAAAAGAUAUUUACGAAAAACAUCCCAAGAAAAGAAAAAGAUUCUGAAAAAUUGUGCAUCCAUGCCCCUAUGGACACUGGGAGCAACCAGAGUACUUUACUGCAAAAGUAAGGAUACGUAUUUCGUGGAAACCACUUAGAAUGAAGAUACGUGAAGUUAAAAACCAACUCCGAACACAAGGAGUGAGGUUAUGCCAACCAAGUGACAAACAGGGAAAAGACAAAAUAGGAAAAAGGAUAAAAUAGGGAAAAGGAUGAAAAGUGAAUAGUGUCGAAAAACGAAAAAUGUAGAAAUGACUCGAUCCUCAAAGGAAGUUGUCAAUCCAAAGGAAAGAGUCUCAGAAACCAUUUCCGAGCACUCUAGAUGACACUAAGCGACGAGAAACUGAACUCAGAAAAGAAAUUUCAAUGAAAAAAAUUCAUCCGUGAAAUUCUGAGAAAAAAGAAAAGGAAGGAAAUGACCGGGUCAUUACAAUAGCCACAUCGAUUCACUGGUUUCUUUGGCAAUUUUCAAUGUAGAUAGCUUCGCUAAUUUAUUCAUCUCUUAUGUACUUUUGAAAUGUCAACAGUCCAUUGGUGCCUUCAUUGCUGUGUCAAGGCAUGUAAGUGCAACUCCUUUGCCACCUUCUAUUCUCAGUCGCAGUGUUGGUUGGCAGGUAAAAUUGACUUAGUGAUAAUUUUGUCUGUAUUUUUGCCUUCAUUAACACCUCAAUGCUAAGCCUAAAAGACUCUAGAUAUGGCACAAUUUUCCACACUCAAUUUUUACAUGGGCUGCUUCCAAAAUGAAUAAUUAGAAUUAAUGGCCUACUCAAUAUUGUUGAACCUCCCCUCAACUAAAAAGAAUGGUUCACUCGUAAUUUAACUAAAAUUUUCAUCUGACAUAGUAGUGGCAUUUAGCUAAAAAGAUGGCUCUUUGUCUUGAAAUGAUGGGAAACUAAUCUGCCAUGUCACUUUGAAUGCAAUUCUUUUGGUCAUGAAUUCUGUUCAUAAAAUACUUCUCCAAAUUUGACUCUGUAAUUUUUAAUGUCCUGUGUGUUCUAAUCAUCUUAAUUCUGUUCUUUAUCGAAGGGAGUCUGCAUAUUGUUCUCUGGAAUAUUUGGAACCGGGAAUGGAUCCUCAGUAUCAGUUGAAAAUGCUGGUUUGUUAGCAUUGACAUGUGUUGGCAGCCGAAGUGUUGUGCAUAUUUGCUGGUUUCAUGAUUUUCUUUUCCAUACUUGGGAAAUUCGAAGCUGUCUUUGCCUCAAUCCCAGCACCAACCAUUUCAGCUCUGUAUUGCCUUUUCUUUGCCUACGUGGGUAUGUGUUACCAAAUGAAGAAGUCCCUAUUUUAUUCUAAUUUUUCUUCUCAAAUCAUGAAGCAGUUCAAGUUCAAUAAUUUUUCUUGAAUUUGUGUUCAUAGUAGUCGAUCCUUGAAGUUUCUCUUCUUUUUUUUUUUUUUUUUUUCAUUCCCGAAUUUGCGUUUCAUUUAACGAUUCUACGCGUAAUUUGAAUAUCUACAUUCUUGAUGAUUCAUAGCAGUCAAUUCUUGAAAGAAACUGUAGAAAUAUUUUUUGAUUAAAAUUGUAUGAUAAUGUUGACCUUUUAUGUAUCCUUUAGGUUUUGGAAAGAUCAAAUUAAGUGUAGUAGUUAUGCUUUUAAUUUCAAAGUUACACAUUCAAGUUUGUUGCUUUCUUUUUGCUUCAUGGUUUUAGUUUGAUUAUGUGUUUGAUUGGACCACUUUGAAAUAUCAGCAAUCUCAGCUUGCCAAUCCUCCUUCCCGUCCUCUUGUAUGUGUUUGUAUAAUUAUAUGUGAUCUCAAUUAAUCCUAUUGAUAUGAAUAACUUGUUAAUAAUUUACAAUUAUUUUGAUGAAUUUGUGCUUAAAUAUCUGAUUUCUUAAUUGAUUCAUAGUAGUGAACUGUGUUAUCUAGGAUCAUAGUAAAUUAAUUCAUAGAUCUGUGUAUGCCCUGAUUUAUUUAUUUUUAAUAUAUUUUUUCUUUCCUGAGUUCUUUAGUGAGAGUUUCGGCUAAAAUUUUCUUCUUUGUUUUCAAUUAUGUUUAGCUGCCUGGAGUCUUGCCUUGAAUGCUUUGAAGGGAACUUUGUAAUCUUUAAUGAAUAAAAAAAUAAAUUUGGGAUCUAUUUGUUUGUGAUUAGUGGGAUGUAGAUCUAAAUUUUCAUUUUUGUAUGACUUGAACUCUUUUUCAUCUUGUAUCAUAUUGUUUGUAUAAUGCUUGUUGUUGAUAUAUAUACCUUUGGCUGGAUUUAUUGUUUUGUUUAGUUGUAUUGAUUUUGUGUUGGGGGCAAUGUAAGGCAACCAUUGAAUUUUUUUUUUUUUGUUUAAAUUGCUUUCUACAAGGGGCGUAGACCGUCGUAGAAAGCAAUAUUUCUACAACAGGCACUGCCUGUCAUAGAAAGCCAUCUUUUUACAAUGGGCUAGAACCGUCGUAGAAGACCCUAAGUCAACUAAAAAAUAGAACCCAAGUUUCUAGAGAUACAAUAUGUCUCUAAGAAACCAAAGUGACCUUCCAAGAGGCAAUGAAAUUCAACAAGAACUAACGCAGGAGAAAAAGAUAAAAAAUAGACCAAGUAUGCCUCCAAGGGCAAAAUAGUCUUUUCACACAAAAUGAAAGUCUGGAGAGAUGUACGCCAUCCCUAAGACACGAAAGUGGCUUCCAGAGGAGUCUCGAGACUCGAAGGAAGCAAGAAGGGAACAAGGUCUUCAAAACCCUACAAGAAAUGGAUCAAGGGUAAAAUGGUCAUUUUACCCAGGAAUGGGUGCUGCCGUGCACACCAUUAGAAAGACAACGAAAAAUUAAUUAAGAUGGAUUCCAGAAUUACAUGAUUCGGAGUCUGAACGAAGGAGAAAAGGCAAGACGAAGAAAAACGAGCACUUAAGGCUAAAAGGGUAAACUGGUAAUUAUUCAUAAAUAUCUGGGUGCAACUGAGCACACCGUUGGAUAGACAAUGAAAAAUUAGUCAAGUUUAAAAAAAAGUUCACUCAAUUUGGAGUCUGGAUGAUAAAGUUAUGAUCAAAUGAAGAAAAAGGAUCAAAAGAUACAAAUCAGGACCAUCUAAUCAAUUAGAUGCCAAAACAGAAUGCUGGAAAUCCCACUGAAGAUCAUCUAAUCGAUUAGAUGGCUCAUCUAAUCGAUUAGAUGAGGCUAAUAGCAAGUAAACACAAAGGAGAAACCUACUCCUAAAAUUACAUUUUCUAUAUAACCUUAUCAACAGAAGUUUUUAUUUUUCAAGUGAAAUAUCCAAAAUACCAUUAUACUCGAUUUAUCAUCUAAUCAAUUAGAUGAGGCUGAUAGCAAGUAAACACAAAAAAGAAAAUGAUCAUGUCAAGGGAAGUUUUUAUUUUUCAAGUGAAAUAUCUAAAAUACCCUUAUACUCAAUUUAUGCGAAAAAAAAAAAAAAAUGUAAAAUGAGUCCAUGGGAGGCUGAAAUCACCAAGGAAGAGGUUUUUCUUAAAAACGAUCAUGCACGUAAACGUAACUUACCUAUUAGGACGUGCUACAAUGGUCCAUGACUUAAAAAUAUUGCCGAUGUAAAAUUCGACCUCCCAAUGGCAAAAAAUGCGAAAAUGAACUUGAAAUAGAAAUUUUGAAAUCCAAAAUUAUGAAAUGGUUUCAAAUUACCGUUUGAGCAUUGGCCACACUUCAUACAUGAUUAAUGAGACCCUAUGAAAGAAUGAAAAUGGAAUUCCCACAGCCGAUGCAACUAUGGUGAAACAAUAACUCAACAUUUUUCAAUAUUUUCAUAAUAUUUUAUAAAGUCAAAAAAAUUACAUAGGAUACAAAAUACAUGUGAUUGGCCUCCGACCUCGUCUCAUACAUAUUAAAUACAUUGUAAAGAGUGUAUUUAUAUACACAUUAUAUGUUUAGAAUCGAAUAUACACAUUUUGACAUAAAAGGUUACAAGUUGCAUUUCAAGCCAACCUUUAUAAGAGUCAUGAACAAUAAUACACUUAAAGAACUUCAAUUCAUCAAAACGAUCCAGGGAUAUUGUGCAUCCCAAACCAAGGCAUCCGUACCUGGAAAAUCAUUCGGUAACUUUGGGGUGAGUAAACAAGUUUACUCGUAGGGAAUGAGUAUGCAUAGACUCAACUUUUUACAGAUUUUUACAUUAACAUGAAACAAUUCAAAAGGAUCAUGCCACCUAACGUCUAUGUCAAAGUGAGACUUAGGGAUCAUCCUAAGCUACCAUAGCUCAUUUCUAGUAUAAGUCACAUCAUUCAUGCAACAUAGAAGCAUGUUAUACGAAGCAACAAGGUAUAGAUGCUCAAAGCCAUCAACUUGAAAUCUAAAAUACGAAAAUAACUAAAGUGGGUCAUGUCACCUAACGUCUAUAUUCCAAAUGAAUUUAUAGGAUCAUUCCUAAGUUACAUUUGAACAUUUAAAAUACAAUUCACCAUAUCGAUGCAACUUAACAAACAUUGGAACUUCCAAUACAGCACAUAAAGCACAAAUCCUCAAAGUUAACAUCUUGAAACUUAAAAUGGGAAAUCAAAUAAGGAACAACAAGUUACAACAUCUUUUAGUUAUCAACUUGGAAUUGAAAUGCGAAAUCAAACUAGGUGGAUACUUGGACAUCACGCCGGAUCAGACCGACACCAGAGUUACUUUAAGGUUACUAGCCCACGGAUAACCACCUUAUGUGCGCACUAGACUAUAGGAGGACAUUCCCCCGUACUAGAACCAUGUCCUAGUCGUAGCCAAAUAACGACAUCCCAAGUUUCCAAAAUCAACAAGUUGUGCAACAACGUAUAUAUCAACAUGUAUAUACAAGAUAAUCAACUAUCAAUCAUACACAACUAAAUUUGGAAACACAUACAAUACAUACUCUAAGUCCACCACUACUAUGGCAUGAAAGAUGUCAAAAACAAAGUAUGUAACUCAUUACACAAGACAACAAUAUAUUCCAUAAAGAAAACAUGUUCUUAUAAAUAUAAAUAUAACAAUAAUGUUAUUUAAUGCUCAAAGCGUAACCAAGUGAGUAUACAACAAGUCCAAGUUUAUAAUUUAAACAUAGAAACAACUUCUAAAACAUAAUUAAAUCCAUGAAGUAAUUAGAUAGAAUUUAAUUAAAUAAAAAUAAUUAAAUUCUCUAGAUUUUAAAUCAAUUCUAAAUAACCUCAAAUUAAUAUAUGUAAAACAAUAUAGCAUGGUCAUUACAUAUAUCAAAUCAAAAGUGCAAAAUGAGUAAGACAUCAUCAUGUAGAAUUUAAUUAAUUUAAAUUAAUUAAAUCUCUAAUUUUCAAAAGUUGUUCAAAUGAUCCCAAAUUCAUAUAUAACAAGAACUAAGUCAUGGCCAUGCCAUAUAUCAAGUCAAAAAUGGAAUACAAGUAAGGUACCAUUAAGUAGAAUUUUAAAUCAAAUUAAAUUCAUUAAAUCUGUAGAUUUGAAAACUCAUUCAAAUGAUUUCAAAUAAUUAUAUGACAAAGAUCAAGUCAAGGCCAUGCCAUAUACCAAGUCUAAAGUGAGUUACAAGUAAGGCAUAAUUAAUCAUUAAUUUUUCAAAUUAAUAUAAAACAUGCAUAUAACUUGUAUUUCACUACAAAAGUAAAUAAAACCCUUAGAUAAAUAAACUAGAACACCCCCUACCUCACAAGAGGAUUGUUUCUCUUGAAUUCAAGGCAAAUCAAUACAAAAUGGCAAACCCUUCAAAGGUUAUGUAGAGGAGGAUGAGGGGAAUAAAAAGUAUUCUAAACUUUAUGGUCUAAGGUGGAUGGAAGGAGGCCAAAAAUGAAGUCAAAACCUUGAGUCAAGCUUUUCUUUCCAUGGAGGCUAAGUUAGGGUUUGAGAACAAAGUGGUGAGGAAGAUGAAUUAAAAUGUGGUGAGUGGAGGAUUUAGCAUUCCUCCACUCACUAUGUGAGUCUACACCAUGGUCUUCACACUCGCAUAGUGCAAAACCUACAAUGAACCUUACACUUGUUAUUAAUCUAAGGCUCCUUCCUACACUAAAUCCCUAGCCUACACUUGUCAUCCAUCCAAGCCAACAAAUGGUCCAAUCCUAGGUCAACAAAUGGGUGAAUCUCCACCCUCCAUGUGUCAAGAGAUUAAGCUGCUAAGUGGUUCCACUAAAAUGUCAACAAGUGGUUCCAUACGAGUGUGACACUUGUCAAACUUUUCAAAAAUUGCAAAAAGGUCUUUUUUCAAAAUAUCUUCUAAAUUAAAUUACAAAAUGGUCCCUAAGACGAAAAAUAAUUACUUUAUUUAAUUACACUUAAACCCCAUAAGUUAAGAAUAUUACAAAAAGGUUAUGCAUCCAUACCCUUUAUAAGAAAAGUAAAUACUUAGCAUGCUUUUAUAAGAAAGUAAAAAUACAUAUAGCAUGAAAUUUAAAUAUUGUGCAUGUAUGCAAAACCAGAAUCAAAUCUGAACACGAAAAGUGAGGUUGUACCAACAAAGUGACAAACAGGAAAAAGACGAAAAGUGAAUAGUGUCCAAAAAGUGAAAAUGUGAAAAUAACUCGGUCCUUAAGAAAAGUUGUUAAUUCAAAGGAAAGAGUCUCAGAAGUCAUUUCUGAGAACUCUAGAUGACACAAAGUGACGAAAAAUCGAAUACAGAAAAGAAAUAACAGCAGAAAAAAUUUAUCUGUAAAAUUUGAAGAAAAAGGAAAGGAAGGAAAAUAACCAGGUCAUUACAGGAACUGAAGUUGUUGAAUUGAAGUUUUUUAGUAACACCUUGAGGAGCUUGUAGUAAGCUUAGAAACAAUAAAAUUUAAUUUUGUGGAUUUCAAGGAGCUGAACAAGUAAUUGAUGCAAAAGAAAAUAUGGGUUAGUUAUUGCUUAAUUCUCAACUCUCCAUAUAUAUGUUAUCUCUUGUACAUAUAUAAUAAAAAAAAUUAAAAUUAACAUUAAUAUUUUAUUUUUUAUUUUAUGUUUAAUCUUGCUAAAUGCUUUGGGAAUUGUUAUUGAGGUAUCUCCUUCAUUGAACAUAUGUAAGAACAACAACAAAGGCACAACCAAAAAGCGGGAAGUUAUUAUAAUGGAUAUGAGUUCAAUGACAACUACUUUGACGUUAUGGGAGGAUCUUGCUGAGAAUGAAGGAAACUUUAUGGGAGUUCAAUGACAUCACAGUUAUAUAUGUGGCAAUCAACAUCUACAAAGGUCUGUCUCUUCAAACACAAAAAGGAUCUACAUUGCGGAUUAAUAUGGAUAUUGAAAGUGUCAAAGCAUUAAUAUAUUGAUUCGUUAUUUAUUGUAACUUCUUUUACAUUAUAUAUACACUAUUUGUAAAAAGAGAACAAGUUUUUUUUUUUUGUUUUAUUUAUUUAAUUAAUUAUUUUACAAGAUAAUUUAUAUGUGGACAGGUCCAAAGAGAAUAUAAAUAACAAAGAUAUAACAAGUUUGAUUUCCAGUACAAAAGAUCAAAAAUUCAAUAGUGCUGAAAAGUCAAACUUCAAGACA